AUUGACCGCUGGCGGCAGGCCUAACACAUGAAAGUCGAGCGAGCGGCGGACGGGUGAGUAAUGCCUAGGAAACUGCCCGAUGGAGGGGGAUAACUACUGGAAACGGUAGCUAAUACCGCAUACCAUCGGAUGUGCCCAGAGGGGAUUAGCUUGUAGGUGAGGUAACGGCUCACCUAGGCGACGAUCCGUAGCUGGUCUGAGAGGAUGACCAGCCAAACUGGAACUGAGACACGGUCCAGACUCCUACGGGAGGCAGCAGUGGGGAAUAUUGCACAAUGGGCGCAAGCCUGACGCAGCCAUGCCGCGUGUAUGAAGAAGGCCUUCGGAUUGUAAAGUACUUUCAGCGGGGAGGCGUUACCCGCAGAAGAAGCACCGGCUAACCCCGUGCCAGCCGCCGCGGUAAUAC
rnacentral:rRNA from 1 species